rnacentral:rRNA from 1 species
UACAUGGGGUGCAAACGUUGCUCGGAAUUACUGGGCGUAAAGCGCACGUAGGCGGGUCUUAAGUCGGAGGUGAAAUCCUGGAGCUCAACUCCAGAACUGCCUUCGAUACUGAGGAUCUCGAGUCCGGGAGAGGUGAGUGGAACUGCGAGUGUAGAGGUGAAAUUCGUAGAUAUUCGCAAGAACACCAGUGGCGAAGGCGGCUCACUGGCCCGGUACUGACGCUGAGGUGCGAAAGCGUGGGGAGCAAACAGG